CACUGACAGUAAGAACAACAUUUCUCUGGCCCCAGGACUCUAUACCCUUCAGAGUAGGGGCGAAGGCACCUCAGUACCUGGGCAAGGGAUCAUGAAGAGGCAAUGGGGAGCCCUGCUGGGGCUUCUGUGGGUCCAGAUCUUCUGGGUGAGAGGAGUGAAGGUGGAGCAGAGCCCUUCAGUCUUGAAGCUCCAGGAAGGAGCCAACUCUACUCUGAGGUGCAAUUUUUCUGCCGCAGUGAGCAGUGUGCAGUGGUUCCAGCAGAAUCCCGGAGGCAGCCUCACCACGCUGUUUUUCAUAACUUCAGGGACGAAGCAGAAAGAAAGGCUGAGUUCCACAGUGAAUUCUAAGGAACGGUAUAGCACCCUACACAUCGCAGCCUCCCAGCUGGAAGACGCAGCCACCUACCUCUGUGCGGUGGAGGCACAGUGCUCCCUGGUGAUCUGCAGCCUGUGCCCAAACUGCAGCUGCCUCAGCCCCGCCCCUCCGCAGGGCUACACCAUGCAAGUACCUUGUUACCUCUUUGGGCUUCCAGAUUCACACUUCAGCACUUUUUUCUUCCGAAGAUCUGAUCCUUUAGGACUGUCAUUUCACUAUUUGUUUUUGUUUUUUUGCCCUUCUUCAUCCCAGAAAUCUCUCGUGGAUAUAAAGCUCUAAUAUGGAACCAUUGUCAUAACUGAUGUAGAUGCCAAUAUUCAAUGUCCUGUUAAAACAGUCUAGUGCUCCUGACAGAUAAAAUAUAAGCUACAUAUAAAUUUCUCUGAUGGAAAAUGCUUGAAAAAAAUAUAUGGUGAUCAACAAACAGAAAGAGAUGACUCAAUUUUUUGGUUAACUGCACGUGUGUGUUCCUUCAAAGUGAAAAGGGAAUUAAAUGUGUGUAAUGCUUUAAAAGUUUGUAUUCAGAUUUUUGAGUCCUGGUAAUAACAAAUAUAAGAAAAAUAAUUUUUUAUGUGAAGACAAGGCAGAGACUGGAGCGCUGUGUCUGAAAGUGAAGGAGCACCAAACACUGAGGGCAGCUGCCACAGGCUGAGAGAAAGGCACGGGUCUACAGCGGCUUAUCCACAGGUACCGACAUUUGAGACUAACCAAGAUUUCCUUCAGCAAGUGGAUGGAUAAGUAAAUUGUGGUACCUCCAAACAAUGGAAUAUUAUUCAGUGUUAAAAAGAAAUGGGCUGUCAAACCUUAAAAAUACAGAGGAAACUUAAAUGCAUGAUACUAAGUGAAAGAAGUCAAUCUCAAAGGCCGCCUACUAUAUGAUUCCAGCUAUAUGACAUCCUGGGAAAGGCAAAAUUAUAAAGAGAGUAAAAACCAGUGAUUGCAAGGAUUGAGGGGAGUGGAAGGAUGAAUGGGGCAGAGCACAAAGGAUGUUUAGGGGUGAAACUACUCUCUGUGAUACUAUGAUGAUGAACACGUGCCACUGUACAUUUGUGUAAACCCAUAGAAUGUACAACAUCAAGAGUGAAUCCUAGUAAACUAUAAACUUUGGGCAAUUAUAAUGUGUUAAUAUGGGCUCAUCAGUUGUGAGAAAUAGACCAGUCUUGUGUGGAAGUUGAUAAGAAGAGAGGUUAUGCAAG